rnacentral:rRNA from 1 species
GCUGUCGUCAGCUCGUGUUGUGAAAUGUUGGGUUAAGUCCCGCAACGAGCGCAACCCUUAUCCUUUGUUGCCAGCGGUCCGGCCGGGAACUCAAAGGAGACUGCCAGUGAUAAACUGGAGGAAGGUGGGGAUGACGUCAAGUCAUCAUGGCCCUUACGACCAGGGCUACACACGUGCUACAAUGGCGCAUACAAAGAGAAGCGACCUCGCGAGAGCAAGCGGACCUCAUAAAGUGCGUCGUAGUCCGGACUGGAGUCUGCAACUCGACUCCAUGAAGUCGGAAUCGCUAGUAAUCGUGGAUCAGAAUGCCACGGUGAAUACGUUCCCGGGCCUUGUACACACCGCCCGUCACACCAUGGGAGUGGGUUGCAAAAGAAGU